UACGAACCGGACGAACGUUAUUCGGAAUUAUUGGGCUUAAAGAGUGCGUAGGCGGCUUUGCAAGUUGGGUGUGAAAUCCCUCGGCUCAACCGAGGAACUGCGCUCAAAACUGCAUAGCUUGAGAGAGACAGGGGCGAGCGGAACUGAUGGUGGAGCGGUGAAAUGCGUUGAUAUCAUCAGGAACACCGGUGGCGAAGGCGGCUCGCUGGGUCUCUUCUGACGCUGAGGCACGAAAGCUAGGGGAGCGAACGGG
rnacentral:misc_RNA from 1 species